AGAGUUUGAUCCUGGCUCAGGAUGAACGCUGGCGGCGUGGAUAAGGCAUGCAAGUCAAGGGGGCCCGCAAGGGCAACCGGCGAACGAGGUAGUAACACGUAGGUACGCACACAAGAGUCUGGCAUAGCUUCUCGAAAGAGGAGGUAAUUCCGGAUAGUCUCAAAGAUUUAUUUCUGCGAGUAAAGUUUUUCGCUCUUGGAGCGGCCUGCGGAGUAUCAGCUAGUUGGUAAGGUAAUGGCUUACCAAGGCUAUGACGCUUAGGGGAGGUGAGAGCCUGACCCCCACCGAUGGGACUGAGACACGGCCCAUACACCUACGGGUGGCUGCAGUCGAGAAUCUUCCGCAAUGGGCGAAAGCCUGACGGAGCGACGCCGCGUGGUUGAUGAAGUGCUUCGGCACGUAAAAACCUUUUAUGAGGGAGAAAAUUCGUUGAUAGUACCUCAUGAAUAAGGAGCUCCAAACUCUGUGCCAGCAGGAGCGGUAAUACAGAGGCUCCAAGCGUUAUCCGGAAUCACUGGGCGUAAAGGGUGUGUAGGUGGUUUAGUUAGUCUUUCGUUAACGCUCCCGGCCCAACCGGGAAAAAGCGAAAGAAACGGCUAGACUAGAGGAUGCGAGAGGUGCGUGGAACUUAUGGAGUAGGGGUGAAAUCCGUUGAUACCAUAGGGAACACCAAAAGCGAAGGCAGCGCACUGGCGCACUCCUGACACUGAAACACGAAAGCGUAGGUAGCGAAUGGGAUUAGAUACCCCAGUAGUCUACGCCCUAAACGAUGAUCGUUGGCUUUUCGGAGUAUCGACCCUCUGAGAGGCGAAGCUAACGCGUUAAACGAUCCGCCUGGGUAGUACGAGCGCAAGCUUAAAACUCAAAGGAAUAGACGGGGACUUGCACAAGCGGUGGAUUAUGCGGUUUAAUUCGAUGGUAAACGAAAAACCUUACCAAGGCUAGAAAUCUAUCUGAAUCCUAGAAGAAACUUUAGGAGCCUCACAAGGGCAGAUAGACAGGUGAUGCAUGGCCGUCGUCAGUUCGUGGUUUAAGCUGUUCCCUUAAGUGGGGUAACGAACGCAACCCUUAUUGGCUGUUACAAGUGUCAGCCGAGACUACCCAGCACUUUGUUUGCGAAGCAAACAAAGUGAGUAGCUAGCAGUAAGUACCUAGUAAACAGGUUUUUAAACCUAGAUGCUAGAUACUGUUUGCUGACUACUGCACACUUCGUGUGCAAGGUGCUGGGAGGAAGCGAGGAUAACGCCAGGUCAGCAUGUCCCUUUGACGCCUUGGGCUACACGCAUAAUACAAUGGUCACUACAACAGGUCGCGACGUCGUAAGACUGAGCUAAUCCUUAGAAAAGUGGCCUCAGUUCGGAUUGGGGGCUGAAACUCGACCCCAUGAAGUUGGAAUCGCUAGUAAUCGCAGGUCAGCUAUACUGCGGUGAAUACGUUCUCAAGUCUUGUACUCACCGCCCGUCAACUCAAGGGAGAUGGGAGUACCCGAAAGCUCGCUUUAUUGUGGGACUAAGGUAAAUUCAUUGACAGGGAGUAAGUCGUAACAAGGUA
rnacentral:rRNA from 1 species